AGGGGUUUAGCUCAGUGGUAGAGUAGCGGUCUUACAAACCGUCGGCCAUCGGUUCGAAUCCGAUAACCCCUA
rnacentral:tRNA from 1 species